AAGCGCAUUCACAAAUGGCGCAAGAAUAUGACAUAUAGUCAGGCGUGAUCAAUCGAGUCAAAAAUCCUGGAUGAUAGCGCGUAGACUACAAUGUUCGAUGACUCUCCAAGCGAUUGGAUUUCCUCGAUUGGAGAUAGAGAUGUACGGAAGUAGCAUGCGAUUUUAUUACUAAGCAACAGAAACCACUGCAUACCGGCGAAUUGGUAAAAACGUCGUUAAAUUUAAUGAUAGACUCUAGUCGAAUUCGCAGAACAGAUGCCAAAACAGCCUUAACUUUGACUUUGCACAUCGAUGUCGUUUCAUUUAUGCGGUGAUAACUUAUCUUAGCAUCAACAAAACCAAACAGGUUGCUGUAGGUAUGAAUAAUUUAAAAAAUCCUGCCUCGUCUGCGAAAGAAAUGCACGCGAAUAAUCCCCAAGAGUCUCACUGUGGAACCGAUGUGGCACGUGCACGAUGGGCUCUUCUGCGACAGGUUUUAAAGCAGAAACAACUGGACAGUUGUGAUGUUCAGCAGGUGUCCGUGCGCCGAUUCUCCACCUUUAACCUGUUCUCCAGGAGCAGGAUCACUCCCUCAGACACGGGUGACCCAGCAGAUGGCCAGUGGGUCGAGUACAGAAGUGCAAUCUUUCCUCAGUACAGUGCCUUACUUAGAGACAAUCUUGGCCCCAUUCGAGUGGAUGAGGUGCUCAACAGCUUUGACAACACCGGAAAUGUCUGUGUUUGGCCCUCUGAAGAGGUGAUGGCCUACUAUUGCCUGAAGAAACGUCACAUGUUUACGGGCUCGUCUGUGUGUGAGUUGGGUGGAGGAAUGACAUGUCUUGCUGGACUCAUGAUUGCGGUUUGUGCUGAUGCAAAGGAAGUUCUGCUGUCAGAUGGAAACGAGAAGGCGAUUCAAAAUGUGCGCAGUGUUAUAGAGCGAAACAGACAAGAUGGGCUGUUCCUGUCGUCCAAUGUGUCCACCAGUGUCGUGAGAUGGGACAAUGAGGCUGACGUGUCUGCUCUGGAGGGUCGCUUUGACGUGGUGAUGUGCGCUGACUGCCUGUUUCUUGACCAGUACAGAGGCAGUCUGGUUGAUGCACUAAGAAGAUUACUGCGACCUGAUGGCACAGCUUUAGUGUUUGCUCCUACCAGAGGAGACACACUGGCUGAAUUCUGCAGACUGGCAGAGGGCGCAGGUCUGUGCGUGUGUCGCUAUGAAAACUACGACUCACACUUGUGGGACCUUCACCUGAAGAGUGAUUCUCUGAAAUCCAGCAUGCAAAGUCAGCAGGUACAUGAAGAGUGAGUCUGUAUGUUAAGCUUUAAAUGGACUUUCUGAGAACCAGACUCAGAACAGGGUACAACAUCUGUUCCUCUGCAUGAAGGCACUAAUACUGUGCCCAGGUCAGGGUAGCAGUGGUGUCCUGCCGGUUAACUGGCACCGAUAGGACCACUACGCCUGCCAUUUUUGGUUACUGGAGAAGCUGUGAGGACCCAUUAUGCCCCACAGGGUUGACAGUGGUGGCCCUGCCUAUGCCCGAGGAAAAUAGGUCUGCCAGCAGGGCUCUGGAGCUGAGUGAUUGGAACUUUAUUUCUGAGGUGAUGGACAUAGCUGGGCAGCAAAAUGCUAAGUGGUCAUUGUGGCAACCAAGAUGCAAAGAGAGACCAAGGAGGUGUAUGAUAGCAACAUCCACUAUCCUGUCCUCCUGACUCUAACUCAUGGCUCCAGUCCGGCCCUGAUCUGAGCUGAAAAAAGCCAUCUCAUGCCAGGUUGCCUUUCUGUACGGCCCACCCCGGCUUUGCCACUGUGUGUGUGCCAGACCUUAAGGGACUCUUAUGACACUUUUCAAUUCUGCUAACUUUCCUCUAUGAGUACUGAGCUCGAUGAAUAUGUGUGCUUUUAAAAUGUAGUGUGUGUGUAUCUGACUUGCCAUGUGUGCGUGUGCUUGACCUGUUUACUGUGCAAUAAAAUACGCUAAAUUUGGAUGGAGAGCACAUCCCUUCCUCUCAUACUACAAACACUGCGAAAAGUGUUGUAAUGAAGCUCAGAUGUGUGAGUGUGCAUGGAGCAGAGAUGGUGUUUCAGGGUAUGAGAUCAUUAAAUGUAUGAUUUUAAGUCUGGAGGUUAAUGCAGAUGAUCAGGUUUGCAUGACUAUAUUUGAGACCCAUAUAAGACAGUAGGGUCGUCUUGAUCACAAGGUCUUGUUGUUGUAGGAUGAUAGCUACAGUAUCAGUUUUAUACAAGCUACUGGUUUUGUGUCUGCUUGAAGGUUUUAUUUUGACACCAAAGGUUAUGCGGUGUUAAGAUGGAUGCUGCUGUGCCGAAUGCUAUUUGCUUCACUGUGAAAUGUGCUCUCACUUGUCAUUUUUUAUCUUAGCACUGACCAGAUAUGAUACGUUAGGUCAGACUAAGAAUUGAUGUCCUCACAGCAUCACACUACCAACAGUAAGGUAGCGUGCACACCAAAGCGUUUACGCUGGCUUAUGUUUUCAAUUGUUUUUAAUGGAAGCGUGGCAAUUUUUUUAAAAGCCAGCAGCUGGCGGGAUUUAUCCAUGCUGAGCGUCAAUACUCAGCGUUUUUUCCGCACUGAGAGUUCAGAAAUUUUUUACUUUGGGUGAAAUGCUCAGCUUGUCAUGGUCACUUCUCACUCGGCCGUCCAAUCACAGUGGAGGAGGAGUGGGACAAAUAUCACAAAAACCAACUGGCGCAUCAUUCAACGACAGUAAAUAAAGCUGGCAAGCGCCUACAGUCGCCGUCCGCCUGACGUUUUCAGCCGUGUUUAAACGCUAUGGUGUGCAUGCCCCCUGAGACCUGCAGCACUGUUUACCAAAUUUCCUGAGGCCUGUAAGUUUAGAGCGCUGUACCUGGACUCAUUAGAGAAACCGUUCAAACACAAAUGACAAUUCUGUCAUCAUUUUUUCAACUCAUAUCUUUGUCUGGUACAACUGGUACACAUCUACUUUUAAUGCAUGUGAGUGAACAUUUUGCUAAACUUCCCAUUCUGUGUUUCACAGAAUAAAGUUAAUUAUACGUGUGCUGAACAACAAAUGAGGGCAAGUAAAUAAUAAAAUAAUUGUUGUGCGCAUCUUGAGACAAAGCGAUGUCAUUGAUAUUAUGUUAAGAUAUGUCAGUAAGCUGUUUUAAAUUAACCUCCUAAAACCCGAGCUUUGGUUUGGCUUGCAUUUUAGAUUUCUUCAAGCUAUUUGAACCAAUAAAUAUAAUAACCAAAUAUUUUUUCUUUGAACAUAAAGCAGUGUAAUUGUGCACGUUUGUGUACAACAGGUUGAAGUUACACAGAAUUAAGUAUUGAGAAAUGUUCCAUGGGUGUUGAUAAUUUUUUUGUAAUCUGCACACCUGACCUGUCGAAUGUUUUAAAAAAAUAAGCACCAGAACGAUGUUUUUGGUAACCGUGGUAUAUUAGGAAUAAUUGACUCCGGUCCUUUGAAUUAGUCGAAAAUAAUGCACACCCGCGGUGUAACAGCGGCAUUACAACUUUGGGUGUAUAUUAUUUUUUAAUAAUUCAAUGGCCUGUCGUCAAUUACUCCUCACUUAUUAGACAUAACUGAUAGAAUACUGUUUUUUUUGUGUGACUUUGUUACCAAGGUUUUUUGGUAACACUUUACAAUAAGGUUGAAUUUGUUAACUUUAGUUAAUUAAGUUAGCUACAAUGUAAAACAUACACAGCAUUUUUUUCAAAUCAAGAUAAACUUUUGUUAAAAAAAGUUAAACAAUUUCAACUUUAAUUUAUUAUUUAUGUCAACUUUUUCAAGUCAAAACUUAAAACAGUAGGUUAAAUUGACAAAAUGUAGUUGUUUUAACUACAUGCUGCAUUUUUACAGUGUAACAUUAGUUAUUAGUUAGGGAUUAGUUAGCAGUUGCUGAAAUUACAAUGAACUAAGAUUAAGUUAUAAUGCAUGGUUACUUAAAUGGAUAGUUCACCCAAAAUAAAAAUUAUUUCAUUAUUUACUCACCCUCGUGUUGUUCUUAACCUGUAUGAGUUUCUUUAUUCUGUUAAAUAGAAAAGAAGAUAUUUUGAUAAAUGUUGGUAAACACACAACUGAUGAUACCCAUUGACUUUCUUAACAUUUGUUUUUCCUACUAUGGAAGUCAACUGGUAUCAUCAACUGUGUGGUUACCACCAUUUAACGUCUUCUUUUGUGUUCAACAGAAUAAUGAAACUCCUGGUAAUUUCAGCAUUUUUAUUUUUAAAAUCAAUAAUUGUAGCUAUUAACAUUAAUUAAUACACAAUGAACUAACAUGAAAAAUUGGCAUUAACUAACAUUUAUAAAUAUGAAUAAAUGCUAAAAAUACUUUCACACUUAUUGCAUACUUAUUGCACUUUGUUAGUCCAUUUUAGCUCAUGCAUUUACUAAUGUUAACAAAACAACCCUAUUGUAAGUGUUACAGAUUUUUGACAUGCAUUCUGAUUUAGAAAAGAUUCAUUAUUUUUAUUUUAUCAAAUGCCCAGAUGACCUCUGAUAAUUCAAACUAAUAAUUAGAGUGCUGUAGUGCCAUGUUGAAAUCUGCAAUUAAAAAAGAAAUCCUCCUUGAAGCAUUUUGAGGUUAAAGUCAAGAAUAAUAUGCAAAGAGAAUAUUGUUAAAAGUGAGAAAUCACAGUAUAACAAGAAAAUAUAAAUUCUGGGCUAUAUUUAAAUGAAAUAUGAUCUGUUUUAUUAAAUAAAAAAUGAAAUAAAAUACUAAUCACAUACUGCAGCAGUCCGGCUACCACUGUAUUUUUGUUUUACUGCUUUAAUCUCGUGUGUUUUUCUCACAACAUAACUACCCUAAUCUCAUAAUGUUAUGACUUUAUCCUUGCAAUUAUGAUUUUUUUCUUCACAUUUUAUUCUGACAUAAACUGAAUAUAUAUUUAUUUCUAUUUUGACCCAGAGCUGAACUGAAUGAUAAACCCUAUCCACUGUUGUUUUCAUCUGCCGUUGAUCUGGUACUGCCUCAUUCGAAGCUCAUGGUUUUGUUGUGAAUUGUUUAGGGCUGUGUGCUUCUGCACUGUGAUUACGUUUGUACAAAACACAGAUGAGUCCAAAGUGAUUGUUUCACAUGGACACUGCAGGUGCUUGUAACGACUGUGAUUAAAUCAUUGUUUCCAAUC